CUACUUUGUAUUCUCCUCUCCGGAGUCUAGAGUUUCCCAUAGUGUAUGCCCCUUUGGAUGGAUGCCCUAGAAGAAGUUUGACUUUUUUUCUGGUGGCCAUGAAACUUCUUAAAUUUGUAAAAUUUGUGAGUGCACUUUAGCUAUACAAAAUAUCCAGGACACAGGAUUUAGGAUUAAAGUUUCUAAUUUCUUCUUCCCUGGUCUGUGCAACCACCAUCAGUGAACUCACUAAAUCAACAGCCAAACAAAAAAGUUUUUGCUCCAAAAAUGUAGUCAAAGUAACCGUAAAUACCCCCCCAAAAAAAGAAUACAGCAACUGCAAAAAUCAGUGAAUGCCUUUUAUACCCUCACGAUAAGCAUGCUCGUGCUACGGCUGUUUUUUGUUUUUG